rnacentral:tRNA from 3 species
GGCGGACGUAGCCAAG